UUACUCCGGAGAGACCAAAAAGAGGAUUUCGGCGCCGAAGGUGUAACCCGCAGGGAUGCGGCUAUCUCUCAGGCAAAAGGACGGAGCGG
rnacentral:ncRNA from 1 species